AUAAGCCAGCCUGCUGAACCAGAACUCUCUCUGCUCCUCUCAUACUCAGUCACACAUGCUCUACCUCAUUUUACUUUACACUGACACCAUGCACACUCACACACACCACUGAUGCUGACUACCACACCUCAUCAUCAUGUUUUACUUGGUAAAUAAUGCUUUGUUGCAGUUAAACUGCUCUCUGCAUCUCUUUUGUUGUGACCUAAGAACCAGUCAUAACAAACUGGAGGCUUGUCCAUUGUGAGUGCAGGGUUUCUUGUUUGUGGCUGAGGAGACUGUUUGCUGUCCUUUUGAUAGUUUGGGAUUGGAGGCAUAAAGUAGUAAGAGCUGCUCCACAGUGGGAUAGAACUUUUCAAGUGGAGGUAGAUACAAGUCAUGUAGGAGCAGAAGCUGAGUGCAGUCUCCCAACCAGAGGCUGGAGCGUUGGGCCUUUAUUUUCCAAUCCUACUGCUAGGACAUCCGACACACAGGGUCUUCAUCUUUCCUCUUAAUUCAGCUUCAACGAUCCAGUAGCUGGAUGGAUAAAGAGCCUUGGUCUCCUCUCUGUUGCAGGUCUCUGGCUGGGCGGAGCCUAUAAUCAUCUAGUACACCUGGUACACCUGGUCAGACAAGCCAGCCUGCUGAACCAGAGCUCUCUGCUCUUCUCGCAG